AUUGAACGCUGGCGGCAUGCUUUACACAUGCAAGUCGAACGGUAACAGGCCGCAAGGUGCUGACGAGUGGCGAACGGGUAAGUAAUGCAUCGGAGCGUGCCCAGUCGUGGGGGAUAACGCAGCGAAAGCUGCGCUAAUACCGCAUACGAUCUAUGGAUGAAAGCGGGGGACCGUAAGGCCUCGCGCGAUUGGAGCGGCCGAUGUCAGAUUAGGUAGUUGGUGGGGUAAAGGCUCACCAAGCCGACGAUCUGUAGCUGGUCUGAGAGGACGACCAGCCACACUGGGACUGAGACACGGCCCAGACUCCUACGGGAGGCAGCAGUGGGGAAUUUUGGACAAUGGGCGCAAGCCUGAUUCAGCAAUGCCGCGUGCAGGAAGAAGGCCUUCGGGUUGUAAACUGCUUUUGUACGGAACGAAACGGUCCUGGUUAAUACCCGGGGCUAAUGACGGUACCGUAAGAAUAAGCACCGGCUAACUACGUGCCAGCCGCCGCGGUAACAC
rnacentral:rRNA from 1 species